UUUUGUCUUUCCUCCAGUUCAGCUUCAGUGAAGGCAGCUGGGCCCCAGUUUGUGAUUAAGUGAGGAUUCUUGGAGCCUGGAAGAGAGAGUGCAAUACUUGAGAGGGCCAUUUCUGACAGGGAUGUUGCACACCCACCACAGGAGGAUUUGGAAAAUGCUGCCUCUUCUGUGACUGGAAACCUUCUCAAAGGUGACCCAAGGACCUGCCUGUCCAAGGAGGGAGGAAUGCCUGGGCUGCUGUCACUGAAGGUGCUUAGCGGGAGUUGUCAACUGCUGCAAUCUUUUGAUCAACACCUCCCCAGUCCUGGAAAUUGUGCCGCACUUCAGACUCUGUACUCGCUGGAUUCUGGCUCUUAUUUCUUCCACAAACUGACUUCCACAGCUACUGACCUUCACCAAAAACACUCAGCAGAGCAGAGAGCAGGCCUGGCAUUUGGGACAGGAGGCACUGCUACACAUUGAGAAUCUGAGCUUAAAUAAAUUUUCGAGUGCAUACAGUAACACAUUGAUAUUUCAUCUGUAGAAGACAAUAUUGUGCAAUUACAUCAUCAAAACACUGCAAGAAUAACUAACUCAGAAGCAAAAGGCAUUCAGUUAUGAGAGUAAGGGGACUGCAUAUGAAGUGAGUCUACAGUAGAAGACAAAUGCACACAGAGUGUUUCAGGAUAUGACUGAGCUGACUUGUAUGCAAAUUGGGACAAAAAUAAAUAAAGGAGGUGGUGUGUCUGAAA